rnacentral:lncRNA from 1 species
UUUCGAGGAACAGUAAAGGCUUUUGGGUUCCAAGUUUUUGCAGAAGGUUGUUAUCAGAAUCCUUACCUUGCGGGGUGCUGGUGGCUACGCUUUCUCUUGCCCCAGUGCUGAAAGUCUUCAAAACUGAAAUGUAAGGUCAAUGAAUUAAAGCCACUUCCUACUGCUUAUUUCUUUGUGUUCCCUCUUUCACUUACAUUUUGGCCUCUGAGAAGUCUUUGCUUUCUUGCCAGGGCUUGGAUACAUUUCAGAAAUGUAAAAAUAUAUUCUAUCCAUUAUUUUUAGUUUGUUUCAGCAACAGAAUUGUUGAAAGAAUCUCUUCCCCCAAACUGCUAUAAACAGAAGUUGCUAAGUAUUUUCUAUGGAUUCAUUUAUUUGGACCUCCCAAACUUGUCAUAAGAGAUAAAGUAAUCUGCCUAAAGUCAGAUAGCUAACAGCCACGGAAGCCCUAGUCUGGCAGGAAAGAAGAGUCAUUAGGCAUCAUCUGGCAACUUGGCUUGGAGAAGUCAGAUCAGUCACCAAGAGUCUGGUGGGGCUGCAGCAAUGGCUAGAAAGAACCAGUGACAUGAUUGCCAGAUAGAGUGGUCAGAGAAGACCUUUCUGAGGCCAUGGUAUUUAAGAUGAGACUUGAAGAGCAACAAGAAGCUAGACACACAAAGCAGAUAAUUUUUUAAUGGCCAUUUCUGGAGAGAAGUUUCCAAGGGAUGAAGUUAUUAUACAGUUUCCAAAUAUUCCUGAAGAGGUCUAAAGAAAAUGUAUUCUGAUUCCACCUUUUACCUGUUUUCCUUUUUUUUUUUCUCUCUCUCUCUUUUUGGAAUUUGUUAUUUGGAUAUAGGAUACACUAGGCUGGUGCUCCAAUUUUCUUAUAUUUUCUGUUUUCCUUGAAGUUUUAGGGGACUUUCUGAACUUUAUUUUUCAAAAUUCAGUUGAGUCUUUAUUGUUUUCCAAAUAUCAACAUUUCUUACCCAGACUAAUGAACUAGCCUACUCACUCAUCUUUCUGAUCCUAUUCCUCUAUAUUAUCCACCCCAAUCCCAAGUUAAUUCUUGUAUGGUCUUUUUGAAAGACUGCAUGAGGUUUUUUGUUUUUAUUUCUGCUUAAAUUAUUUGCUGAUUUAUUUGCACUUAGGAUACAGGCCUAAAUCCUUAGCUUUGCUGACAUCAUGAAAGAUGUGGGCCCUCCCUAGCACUCCAGUUUCAUCUUACAUCAUGCCACUCUUUGGUACUUUAUCCUUACUGUCCAGCUUCAUUUCCUAGAGUGUCCUGUGACCCUCUUGACUCAGAGCCUCUGCACGUGCUGUUCCCUGUGUUUGUCUCCUUUGUCCAGCUCUACCAACUUCCUUUAUCUCUCAGUGUUCAGGUGUCAUCUCAUCUCCAGCAUGAAUUAGAUGUCUUAUCUUGUGCUUCUCAUUGGGCUAUACUGUAAUGCUUAGCACAUUAGUCAGUUCCCUCAUUGCUAUAAAGAAAUACCUGAGGCUGGGUAAUUUAUAAAGAAAGGAGGUUUAAUUGG